UGGGGUGAGCUGGGCUGGGGGUGUCCAGGGGAGCUGGGGGCACCGUCGGUGGGGGAUGUGGGGCUGUUCCCCACGGGGUGGCUGCCUCUGGCACCGCUGGGUGCUCUUACCCAUUUCCCUGCGCUAGAGUUAAUUAAAAGAUGCCAUCAGCUCUGGAUGUCCCCAGGACGUGACCGAGCACCUCACCGCUGCCCAGGCUGGGCCCCGCUCAGCAGCCCGUGAAGGGAGCAAUGAAUCACAGAUCCCUUUGGGUCCCGCUCGGCUCUGCCUGCACCGUCAGCGCUUCCCCUUCGGAGGAAAUAAUUAAGCGAAAAGUUGCCAUAAAGCACGUGAAGGAGGGGCUGGCUGGAGGCAGGGGGCAGCCCGUGUGCAGGAGGGGCUGUCCUCGGGGGGCACGAGGCUUCCAAAAGCAAAGGCAGCAGCCAGGGGAGAGCUUCCCAACCUCCUCGUGUCCCCGUGUGUCCAGCUGCAGCCAGCGGUGGGGGGGGGCUUGGUCCCAUCGUGUGCCCUGCAGGAGUGCAGUGGGCUCGGCGUUGCCGCGUGCUCAAAUUAUCCUCGCUUUUCAGCGCCAAAUAUUCAUCUCCGUUUUCAGCCCUCUUGUCUUUUUUCCUAAAAUUAACAUUUAUUUCAGACAUAAUCUAACCUGCCUGCAGUGCCGCGUUACAAAGAGCGCUCCCCUGGGAAGGGAUUUCAGCCUCCUUUGUUCCCGAGGUUCUCGAAAAAAGGUGAUUUUUCCCCCCAAAUCCUCACCGGCAGCCGUUAUCCCGGGUGCCUCUCGUUACCCUGUCUCUGCUCUGUGUUUCCUGCUGGAUGUAUUAUUCCCCCUCUGCCCAUUUCUGUUGCUUUUUAACUUCCUGAUGCUGAACCAGAAAGCUCCUGAGGUCAGGAGCUGCCGUCUUUGCC